GAUGAACGCUGGCGGCGUGCCUAAUACAUGCAAGUCGAGCGAAGCGGGGACGGUUGAGUAAAACGUUGAUAACCUCCUCUAAGACUGGGAUAACUUGGGGAAACCGGAGCGAAACCGUAUAAUUAUAGAUGGAUUCGCGCUGCGUUAGCUAGUGGGUAAGGUAACGGUUUACCAAGGCAACGAUGCAUAGCCGACCUGAGUGGUGGAUCGACCACACUGGAACCGAUAAACGGUCCAGAGUCCUACGCGAGGCAGGAGUAGGGAAUCUUCCGCAAUGGGCGAAAGCCGAACGGAGCCACGCCGCGUGAGGGAUGAAGGUCUUCUGAUCGUAAAACUCUGUUAUUAGGGAAGCGGUACCUAAUCAGAAAGCCACGGCUAACUACAUGCCAGCAGCCGCGGUAAUAC
rnacentral:rRNA from 1 species